CGGGACGGGUGAGUAAUGUAUGGGGAUCUGCCUGAUGGCGGGGGAUAACUACUGGAAACGGUAGCUAAUACCGCAUAACGUCGCAAGACCAAAGAGGGGGACCUUCGGGCCUCUUGCCAUCGGAUGUGCCCAGAUGGGAUUAGCUAGUAGGUGGGGUAACGGCUCACCUAGGCGACGAUCCCUAGCUGGUCUGAGAGGAUGACCAGCCACACUGGAACUGAGACACGGUCCAG
rnacentral:rRNA from 1 species